rnacentral:rRNA from 1 species
AUACGGAGGGUCCAAGCGUUAUCCGGAUUCAUUGGGUUUAAAGGGUCCGCAGGCGGGAAAAUAAGUCAGUGGUGAAAGCCUACAGCUCAACUGUAGAACUGCCAUUGAUACUGUUUUUCUUGAGUAUAGAUGAAGUGGGCGGAAUAUAUCAUGUGGCGGUGAAAUGCAUAGAUAUGAUAUAGAACACCGAUUGCGAAGGCAGCUCACUAAACUAUUACUGACGCUCAGGGACGAAAGCGUGGGGAGCGAACAGGAUUAGAAACCCUAGUAGUCC